CACACUAUCAUUAACUGAAUCCAUAGGUUAAUGAGGCGAACCGGGGGAACUGAAACAUCUAAGUACCCCGAGGAAAAGAAAUCAACCGAGAUUCCCCCAGUAGCGGCGAGCGAACGGGGAGGAGCCCAGAGCCUGAAUCAGUAUGUGUGUUAGUGGAAGCGUCUGGAAAGGCGCGCGAUACAGGGUGACAGCCCCGUACACAAAAAUGCACAUGCUGUGAGCUCGAUGAGUAGGGCGGGACACGUGGUAUCCUGUCUGAAUAUGGGGGGACCAUCCUCCAAGGCUAAAUACUCCUGACUGACCGAUAGUGAACCAGUACCGUGAGGGAAAGGCGAAAAGAACCCCGGCGAGGGGAGUGAAAAAGAACCUGAAACCGUGUACGUACAAGCAGUGGGAGCACAGAGCAAUCUGUGUGACUGCGUACCUUUUGUAUAAUGGGUCAGCGACUUAUAUUCUGUAGCAAGGUUAACCGAAUAGGGGAGCCGAAGGGAAACCGAGUCUUAACUGGGCGUUAAGUUGCAGGGUAUAGACCCGAAACCCGGUGAUCUAGCCAUGGGCAGGUUGAAGGUUGGGUAACACUAACUGGAGGACCGAACCGACUAAUGUUGAAAAAUUAGCGGAUGACUUGUGGCUGGGGGUGAAAGGCCAAUCAAACCGGGAGAUAGCUGGUUCUCCCCGAAAGCUAUUUAGGUAGCGCCUCGUGAAUUCAUCUCCGGGGGUAGAGCACUGUUUCGGCAAGGGGGUCAUCCCGACUUACCAACCCGAUGCAAACUGCGAAUACCGGAGAAUGUUAUCACGGGAGACACACGGCGGGUGCUAACGUCCGUCGUGAAGAGGGAAACAACCCAGACCGCCAGCUAAGGUCCCAAAGUCAUGGUUAAGUGGGAAACGAUGUGGGAAGGCCCAGACAGCCAGGAUGUUGGCUUAGAAGCAGCCAUCAUUUAAAGAAAGCGUAAUAGCUCACUGGUCGAGUCGGCCUGCGCGGAAGAUGUAACGGGGCUAAACCAUGCACCGAAGCUGCGGCAGCGACGCUUAUGCGUUGUUGGGUAGGGGAGCGUUCUGUAAGCCUGUGAAGGUGUGCUGUGAGGUAUGCUGGAGGUAUCAGAAGUGCGAAUGCUGACAUAAGUAACGAUAAAGCGGGUGAAAAGCCCGCUCGCCGGAAGACCAAGGGUUCCUGUCCAACGUUAAUCGGGGCAGGGUGAGUCGACCCCUAAGGCGAGGCCGAAAGGCGUAGUCGAUGGGAAACAGGUUAAUAUUCCUGUACUUGGUGUUACUGCGAAGGGGGGACGGAGAAGGCUAUGUUGGCCGGGCGACGGUUGUCCCGGUUUAAGCGUGUAGGCUGGUUUUCCAGGCAAAUCCGGAAAAUCAAGGCUGAGGCGUGAUGACGAGGCACUACGGUGCUGAAGCAACAAAUGCCCUGCUUCCAGGAAAAGCCUCUAAGCAUCAGGUAACAUCAAAUCGUACCCCAAACCGACACAGGUGGUCAGGUAGAGAAUACCAAGGCGCUUGAGAGAACUCGGGUGAAGGAACUAGGCAAAAUGGUGCCGUAACUUCGGGAGAAGGCACGCUGAUAUGUAGGUGAAGCGACUUGCUCGUGGAGCUGAAAUCAGUCGAAGAUACCAGCUGGCUGCAACUGUUUAUUAAAAACACAGCACUGUGCAAACACGAAAGUGGACGUAUACGGUGUGACGCCUGCCCGGUGCCGGAAGGUUAAUUGAUGGGGUCAGCGCAAGCGAAGCUCUUGAUCGAAGCCCCGGUAAACGGCGGCCGUAACUAUAACGGUCCUAAGGUAGCGAAAUUCCUUGUCGGGUAAGUUCCGACCUGCACGAAUGGCGUAAUGAUGGCCAGGCUGUCUCCACCCGAGACUCAGUGAAAUUGAACUCGCUGUGAAGAUGCAGUGUACCCGCGGCAAGACGGAAAGACCCCGUGAACCUUUACUAUAGCUUGACACUGAACAUUGAGCCUUGAUGUGUAGGAUAGGUGGGAGGCUUUGAAGUGUGGACGCCAGUCUGCAUGGAGCCGACCUUGAAAUACCACCCUUUAAUGUUUGAUGUUCUAACGUUGACCCGUAAUCCGGGUUGCGGACAGUGUCUGGUGGGUAGUUUGACUGGGGCGGUCUCCUCCUAAAGAGUAACGGAGGAGCACGAAGGUUGGCUAAUCCUGGUCGGACAUCAGGAGGUUAGUGCAAUGGCAUAAGCCAGCUUGACUGCGAGCGUGACGGCGCGAGCAGGUGCGAAAGCAGGUCAUAGUGAUCCGGUGGUUCUGAAUGGAAGGGCCAUCGCUCAACGGAUAAAAGGUACUCCGGGGAUAACAGGCUGAUACCGCCCAAGAGUUCAUAUCGACGGCGGUGUUUGGCACCUCGAUGUCGGCUCAUCACAUCCUGGGGCUGAAGUAGGUCCCAAGGGUAUGGCUGUUCGCCAUUUAAAGUGGUACGCGAGCUGGGUUUAGAACGUCGUGAGACAGUUCGGUCCCUAUCUGCCGUGGGCGCUGGAGAACUGAGGGGGGCUGCUCCUAGUACGAGAGGACCGGAGUGGACGCAUCACUGGUGUUCGGGUUGUCAUGCCAAUGGCACUGCCCGGUAGCUAAAUGCGGAAGAGAUAAGUGCUGAAAGCAUCUAAGCACGAAACUUGCCCCGAGAUGAGUUCUCCCUGACCCUUUAAGGGUCCUGAAGGAACGUUGAAGACGACGACGUUGAUAGGCCGGGUGUGUAAGCGCAGCGAUGCGUUGAGCUAACCGGUACUAAUGAACCGUGAGGCUUAACCUUACAACGCCGAAG
rnacentral:rRNA from 1 species